CGGAGCCGGUCCGGCGGAAUUUUUCGGUAUUCGAUAAUUAUCUGUUUGUCUCGAUAAACGUGAAACUAGAUAUUUAUGUUCAUCCUUAUCUUGUAAUAAUGACAGUGGGACCCGCAUACUAAUGACUGAUUAAAAAGCCCCGUUUUGAUAAUUAUCUCGAAAACCGGUACCGAUUGGACCUGUUUUAUUAUAUAAAGCUAUUAAACAUUGUAUUUUCGUGUCAUAUAUGAUCCAAAGGGGUAUUAAUUUUUCAUAACUAUAAAUAGCCUUAACCGCACUUUAAUUCAUCGGGGAAAUCAUAAUCUCAGUUAAACACGAGUUUAUCGAGAGAGUGUUCUUCGUGU
rnacentral:lncRNA from 1 species